GGAGGAGCUUGCUUCUCCGGAUGAGUUGCGAACGGGUGAGUAACGCGUAGGUAACCUGCCUGGUAGCGGGGGAUAACUAUUGGAAACGAUAGCUAAUACCGCAUAAGAGUAGAUGUUGCAUGACAUUUGCUUAAAAGGUGCAAUUGCAUCACUACCAGAUGGACCUGCGUUGUAUUAGCUAGUUGGUGGGGUAACGGCUCACCAAGGCGACGAUACAUAGCCGACCUGAGAGGGUGAUCGGCCACACUGGGACUGAGACACGGCCCAGACUCCUACGGGAGGCAGCAGUAGGGAAUCUUCGGCAAUGGACGGAAGUCUGACCGAGCAACGCCGCGUGAGUGAAGAAGGUUUUCGGAUCGUAAAGCUCUGUUGUAAGAGAAGAACGAGUGUGAGAGUGGAAAGUUCACACUGUGACGUAUCUACCAGAAAGGAC
rnacentral:rRNA from 1 species